rnacentral:rRNA from 1 species
UAAUACGGAGGUGGCAAGCGUUACUCGGAUUUACUGGGUGUAAAGGGCAGGUAGGCGUCUCGGUAAGUUCUGGGUGAAAUCCUUCUGCUUAACAGAAGAACUGCCUGGAAAACUAUCGAGAUUGAGGCAAGAAGAGGAGAGCGGAAUUCCCGGUGUAAGGGUGAAAUCUGUAGACAUCGGGAGGAACACCAGUAGCGAAGGCGGCUCUCUGGUCUUGUCCUGACGCUGAGCUGCGAAAGCUAGGGGAACAAACAGGAUUAGAUACCCUGGUAGUCCUAGCCGUAAACGAUGAGCACUAGGUGUUGGUUCUGAAUAAGGAUCAGUGCCGUAAGAUAACUCGUUAAGUGCUCCACCUGGAGACUACGGCCGCAAGGCUA